AUUCGGGUGGCAGAGCCUGGAAUUGCGAAAGACUUAAGAUCUUUACCACGGAGGUUCAAAUCCUCCCCCAAAUU
rnacentral:tRNA from 1 species